UGCUCGGUAGCUUAGUUGAUAAAGCACUUGUCUAGCGAAUAAGGGUCGUGAGCUCAAAUCUCACUUGAGCUG
rfam:Aedes albopictus isolate Foshan contig63308, whole genome shotgun sequence.